UGCCAGCAGCCGCGGUAAGACAGAGGGUGCAAGCGUUAAUCGGAAUUACUGGGCGUAAAGAGCACGUAGGCGGCUAAUUAAGUCGGAUGUGAAAGCCCCGGGCUUAACCUGGGAGGGUCAUUCGAUACUGGUUAGCUAGAGUAGAGUAGAGGAAAGUGGAAUUUCCGGUGUAGCGGUGAAAUGCGUAGAUAUCGGAAGGAACAUCAGUGGCGAAGGCGACUUUCUGGACUCAAACUGACGCUGAGGUGCGAAAGCGUGGGGAGCGAACAGGAUUAGAUA
rnacentral:rRNA from 1 species